GGCAGUUUAGUUUAAUGGUAAAACACUUGACCCGUAAUCACAGAUAUGUGAGUUCGAGUCUCAUGAUUGGCCA
rfam:Octopus bimaculoides Scaffold114901_contig_11, whole genome shotgun sequence.